rnacentral:rRNA from 1 species
CGGGUGAGUAAUGUAUAGGAACUUGCCUAGUAGUGGGGGACAACGUGUGGGAACGCACGCUAAUACCGCAUACGCUCUACGGAGGAAAGCGGGGGAUCUUCGGACCUCGUGCUACUAGAUGGGCCUAUAUUGGAUUAGCUAGUUGGUAGGGUAAAGGCCUGCCAAGGCGACGAUCCAUAGCUGGUUUGAGAGAAUGAUCAGCCACACUGGGACUGAGACACGGCCCAG